AUACGGAGGGUGCAAGCGUUAAUCGGAAUUACUGGGCGUAAAGGGUACGUAGGCGGUUAAAUAAGUUGGAUGUGAAAGCCCCGGGCUCAACCUGGGAACUGCAUUCAAAACUGUUUGACUAGAGUGUAUGAGAGGUUGGCGGAAUUCCAGGUGUAGCAGUGAAAUGCGUAGAUAUCUGGAGGAACAUCAGUGGCGAAGGCGGCCAUCUGGCAUAACACUGACGCUGAGGUACGAAAGCGUGGGGAGCGAACGGGAUUAGAAACCCCAGUAGUCC
rnacentral:rRNA from 1 species